rnacentral:rRNA from 1 species
AGAGUUUGAUCCUGGCUCAGGAUGAACGCUGGCGGCGUGCUUAACACAUGCAAGUCGAACGAUCCUUCGGGAUAGUGGCGGACGGGUGAGUAACGCGUGGGAAUCUGCCCUCAGGAGGGGGAUAACGGCUGGAAACGGCCGCUAAUACCCCAUAUGCCGAGAGGUGAAAUGAAUUUCGCCUGAGGAUGAGCCCGCGUCUGAUUAGCUAGUUGGUGGGGUAAAGGCCUACCAAGGCAACGAUCAGUAGCUGGUCUGAGAGGAUGAUCAGCCACACUGGGACUGAGACACGGCCCAGACUCCUACGGGAGGCAGCAGUGGGGAAUUUUCCGCAAUGGGCGAAAGCCUGACGGAGCAACGCCGCGUGAGGGAUGAAGGCCUCUGGGCUGUAAACCUCUUUUCUCAAGGAAGAAGACCUGACGGUACUUGAGGAAUAAGCCACGGCUAAUUCCGUGCCAGCAGCCGCGGUAAUACGGGAGUGGCAAGCGUUAUCCGGAAUUAUUGGGCGUAAAGCGUCCGCAGGCGGCCUUGUAAGUCUGUUGUUAAAGCGUGGAGCUCAACUCCAUUUAAGCAAUGGAAACUACAAGGCUGGAGUGUGGUAGGGGCAGAGGGAAUUCCCGGUGUAGCGGUGAAAUGCGUAGAUAUCGGGAAGGACACCAGUGGCGAAGGCGCUCUGCUGGGCCAUAACUGACGCUCAUGGAAAAGCCAGGGGAGCGAAAGGGAUUAGAUACCCCUGUAGUCCUGGCCGUAAACGAUGAACACUAGGUGUCGGGGGAAUCGACCCCCUCGGCGUCGUAGCCAACGCGUUAAGUGUUCCGCCUGGGGAGUACGCACGCAAGUGUGAAACUCAAAGGAAUUGACGGGGGCCCGCACAAGCGGUGGAGUAUGUGGUUUAAUUCGAUGCAACGCGAAGAACCUUACCAGGGUUUGACAUCCUGCGAACCCCUGAGAAAUCGGGGGGUGCCUUCGGGAGCGCAGAGACAGGUGGUGCAUGGCUGUCGUCAGCUCGUGUCGUGAGAUGUUGGGUUAAGUCCCGCAACGAGCGCAACCCACGUCUUUAGUUGCCAGCAUUCAGUUGGGCACUCUAGAGAGACCGCCGGUGAUAAACCGGAGGAAGGUGUGGAUGACGUCAAGUCAUCAUGCCCCUUACAUCCUGGGCUACACACGUACUACAAUGCUACGGACAAAGGGCAGCAAGCUCGCGAGAGUUAGCAAAUCCCAUAAACCGUGGCUCAGUUCAGAUCGUAGGCUGCAACUCGCCUACGUGAAGGAGGAAUCGCUAGUAAUCGCAGGUCAGCAUACUGCGGUGAAUACGUUCCCGGGCCUUGUACACACCGCCCGUCACACCAUGGAAGUUGGCCAUGCCCGAAGUCGUUACUCCAACCCUUGUGGAGGAGGACGCCGAAGGUGGGGCUGAUGACUGGGGUGAAGUCGUAACAAGGUA